ACAAAUAGCUCUCUCGUUUAUAAGUUCGAUCACUCCACGGCAACAAAUUGUGAUUAUAUCAAGGAUAUAAUCACUUUCCUACCCCUAGUAUGUAACAAAUCAUUACGAACAAAACGCAAGAGACUUAUUAUAACGUAAACAUACUGAGAGUAUUAGUGAAAAAUUAUAACUUGCAGUGAUUUUCAUGUAAUGUAAAAUAAUGCACACAGCACACUGCCAAAUAUUAUACUUGUCUGUGACGCAAUAAAAGUUACUCUGUUAAAAAAAAUAACCUUUUGUCUUUUAUUGUUUGUGGUGCAAUACUGCAUAAAGUUUUUCCGACUAAAAACAAACUUUUGAAACUUUCUUCUAGCCAUAACAUUAAAAGAAAUGCCUUUAUGUGAAAACUGCCAUAUUGAGUAAAUAUUUACUUACUAAUCGCAAAGACAAACAACAAAACUUAAUGUUUUUUUUCGAGACAAACAUAAAAGAACAGAAAACUAGCUGCCUGACAUCUAACAUGAAGAGAUGAAGCAAAUUCCCUACUAUCCUGGUCUUUCGGUACCAAAUUGUAACGUUUCGCCCUACCGCCUGCCUACUUAACUCCUACCUAUUGGAUUUACUAAGAAGAUAUUUGAAACUACAACUUACUAUUAACACUGGUUAUCUACACUGGAUAUUCUUUUCGAUUCUUCCCACAAUGAAUCAAUACUUUUAUCAAAGAUCUUCGAAAACAGCCAGAAGGAAGCUCAACAUUCAACUGAAAGUCUAGAAGGGAAAACAACCUAACAAAUAAACUGGAGACUUAAAAAUGAAACAAAUACUACUUUAGUUUGGCCAUGAAACAUCCAGGGAACCCCUACGUUAUGUAGUGUAACCCAAUAAACGAAAGCUAAUAAUUUAAUAAAACUAUGAACGUGAAUUGAAUACAACCUUCCUAACUACUUGCCUAAAGUUAUUGACCUAUAUAUUCACUACAACUUUUAAUUGUAUGAUAACUACAUAUUUACAGGUAAGUGCUAUUAGUGAAUUUGAAUUUACAUAAAGGUAAAAGUAA